rnacentral:rRNA from 1 species
UGAACGCUGGCGGCAUGCUUUACACAUGCAAGUCGAACGGCAGCGCGGGCUUCGGCCUGGCGGCGAGUGGCGAACGGGUGAGUAAUGCAUCGGAACGUGCCCAGUAGUGGGGGAUAGCUCGGCGAAAGCCGGAUUAAUACCGCAUACGACCUGAGGGUGAAAGCGGGGGAUCUUCGGACCUCGCGCUAUUGGAGCGGCCGAUGGCAGAUUAGCUAGUUGGUGGGGUAAAGGCCUACCAAGGCGACGAUCUGUAGCUGGUCUGAGAGGACGACCAGCCACACUGGGACUGAGACACGGCCCAGACUCCUACGGGAGGCAGCAGUGGGGAAUUUUGGACAAUGGGCGAAAGCCUGAUCCAGCAAUGCCGCGUGUGUGAUGAAGGCCUUCGGGUUGUAAAGCACUUUUGGCGGGAACGAAAAGGACUGUGCCAAUACCACGGUUCGAUGACGGUACCCGCAGAAUAAGCACCGGCUAACUACGUG